UGAUGUGUAUAUAUACAACAGGGUCUGCACUGUGUAGGCAUCUCACCUCAGAAGAACAGCUCCACUGCUACCAUACCACAGAGGAAGACCUCCAAAAUCGUCGAAAAGAAAAACUAUGGCAAGCUCAAACCAGAUUCUUGAAGUUACCAAAGGCCUCACUACAGCAGCAGAAUGCCGGGAGGACACAAAACUGCUGAUGCAGCCUUACGCUAACUGGGAGGAAUACCUGACCCCAGCACCAAUGUCCAUAGCCAUCCUGGCAGAGCUGAUCUUCAUCUCCUCCAAUUCUGAUUUUUCCAUUCGUAAAGGUGGCCCAGAGGGUGGAUUCAAGUAUAUCAAGUACCCAGACUCAUUCCGUGCCUGCCUCAUGCAAGUGUGUAAUUCUGGGUGGCGUGCGUUCAAUGAUGCACACAAGAAUAUGGACCAAAUUCGUCUCUACACCAGCAAUGUACCAAAUUACAUCAAGAUGGCAGUGCAGAUACUCCUCCAGGAUGAUGACAACUUUGUUCAGGCCAUGCUCCCAGACCAGCUGGAUAACAUUUCGAACAUAGCUGAUGAGUGUGUGAAUCUGGCUCAGUCGACAGAGAAAAGGUUCACUGAUGUCAUUGAACUCAUCCAGGAGCUCCUCGAAACUUGCACCAGUGCAAAACAGGUAUAUGGGGAGGAGUUGGAAGAAGUCCGAAAGAAAAUCAGUGAAAAUGAGCUGAGGAAAGUGGCUGCAGAGGAGGCCACCAAACGUGCUGAACAGGCUUACAAGAACAUGAACCAGCAGCUGAAGGAGGCCCAGGAAAGCUUCAAAUCAGCAAUGGACUCAAUGCCAAGUGGCUGGGACAUGAUGGGAAUGAAUUUUGUGGAAGGGCUCGCUGGCAGUGUUACAACUGCACUUUCAGGGCUUGCUUCCAUUGUCGCUUCACCAGUUAACCUCCCUGCAAAGAUAGCCGGCACUGCAACUGGAAAAACCACUGCAACAGUUAAACCUGAUGCAAAUAAUGACCAAAUCUCGGCAAACAAUAUUUAUUCCAAAUCACCUCAGAUACUGCCUUUAGUCGAAGGCCUCGAUGUUUUUUUUGAUGGAGACCAAAUCAAGUGGUCUGAAAUAGUUGACCAGAAAACUAAACUCCCCAAAACCAAUUGGACUAAGGAACAAUUUGUGAAAAUUCAAGAAGUAAUGAAAAAGGAAAAAGAAUGCAAACCAAAAAUGGAAGCUUUGGGAAUAUGCACCAAAGCCAUCACUAUCUGCUCUGAACUGGGAAAAGUUAACCCUGAAGAGCCUGAUGAUGCCAUAACAAAACAGACUGUGGAGCUAAUGAAAAGUCUGAGAAAAGAUGUUAUGGUUUUUGAUACCGAAAGCAAAUCUGCAACUAAUACCUCAGCAUUCAAUGUAAAACCACCACAAAUUACUCAAACUCAAGAAAAUAGUUCAGGCUCCAAGUCUGCAGGCCAGAUAGCCGCGGAUAACGCUCGCUUUAAAGUAGAACAGAGCAGAGCCCAGCUUAAGGAUGCGAGGGAAUUAUAUGAGAAGCAUUUUAACAACAUGGAGGAAAAGAAGAAAGAGUUGACCGAAAUUCUUGUCUCCUUGAGAAACUGUGCAGUCAAAGAGAUAGACUUCAACACCACCAUAAAACUUCUGGCCCAAGGUCUAGAAGCAAUGGGAAAUGUGAAGGAGCAGUGGCAGAAGCUGGUGCGUUUUUUCCAGAUGGUUUCCAACCUCAUCAAAACCUGCCUGGGCACAUCCCUGAAUGAUUUUGUUAAAACUGGUGAGAAAGCAUCAAACAAAACAUUCAAGUACACUUCACGAAUGUUUUUGAAAGACGUGAUCUACAACCAGGCAUUCUAUGCAUCCAACAUUACCAGCCUGGUUAAUAUGAUCGCAGGGACCUACACAGAUGUUUCUAACAAGUAUCUGAUGGACGCAGUCAGCAAGCUGAGCAAGCUCAUGUCUUUAGACAUCAGCAAGCCAGAGUUCAUCAGUGAGCGAGCAAACAUGGUAACGUCCUGUGACCAAGCUGAAGAAGGAAUAAGAAAUCUUGUCAAGAAAAAUAAGCAGGACUUUGAAAGGAAGACCAUGCAAAGACUGGAGAAAAUUGAGAGUGAGCUGAUGGCUGUGCUACCUCCGGUGUCUGAAGAGAAGAAAAAGGAAAUUCAGGAAGCAGUUCAUAAAGCAUCCAAGAAUGAUGAGGAUGAUGAUCAAUAUGCUUGAUGGUGCCAUGGCAACCUGAACAGCUUGGGAGAGCAAAAAGUCCUAUUUUCACAGGGUCAGAGCCCCUCCCACUCACCGGAUGACCCAUUAAAAGAAGAAAUCCACACUGUCUGCAAUAAUUCUGCUCUUUGCUUGGACCCUCCAUCUCAUCAAAAUGAUCUAUUAUCCAAAUCAAAUAUUGAGUCUGGAGAGGCAUUUUUCAUUGCUAAAAAAUUAAUGUGCACACACCCACACACACAUAAACACACACAGGCAUGCAAUCACACACAAACACACACACACAGAGGGGUAUGCAAUCACACAUAGAUUUGCACCACAUGUACAACUAUACUGGGGGAUGAGCAGGAAGUAAGUGCAUGCAUAGUUGCUACCCUUACGAAAAAACCACAUGUCCAAAAAACACAUGUCCAAAAACAUGUAAACACUGAACAUGUGAAGAGUACACAUGUGAACUAUAAAACCAAUCCCACUUGAUGAGAUGAGUCGGAAAAGGUAACCUAAGCUAUUUCUAAUCACGUUUUGUUUCAAAAUGCAAAAAUCGUAGUUCACAUUUGGAAAAAGCGAGUCACAUGAGACAAUUUCCAGUCCAUAUGACAUUUUCUUUUCAUAAUAUUCACACGUGAAAUUGUGAUUUUCACACACGAAAACAGCAAAUUUCAUGUGAUUUUUUCAUAAGGGUACACAUUCAAAUACAUUAAUAAGAAUCCACAAUCUUGUUUGAAACAUACAAACUAAUGUAUUUUGCUGACACAUUUAUGCUAAAAUAUUUUUGGCUAAUGAAACUGGAAGUAAUGCAAAACCAGAUGAAAUUACACCUUUUAAGGAAUCCAACAGAUUAUGUUACUCAUUCAAUUUUUUCAUGUCGUUUGUUUUCAGUAUCAGAUUCAAUUUUACAAGUAAUCCACCCUACACUGGUUUUAGCAAUACACGUUAAAACCAACCAAUAAUCAAACCAGUGUUAAGAGUUUAUAUACGUAAUUUUGAACAUUUUCAAAAUGUUCGUCUAAAAAGUGAAAGUUCUCUCAUUUUAUUGUAAUACUUCUGUGUCAGUGACAACGUACUUAGGUGUCAUGGGUAAGUUGUCCUUGAGUGCUGGCCUAGGAUCAGAUUUGAUUUUGAACUUAAAAUGGUUAACACCUCAAAGCUCCAAUUUAAUUUCUGUUUUUAAAAUAAAUGAAUAAUCUUUCUAUCACUUCUAUUACCCACAGGUCUUGAGGCAAGCACAUUGAUAGAGGCACUUUUGACAGUACCCUUGUCAAUCUCCUGUGGUGUCUGGUGCUGGGCGUGUGAAGUGCACCUUUGUAAAAGUGUCUACUAAACUGUAAAUUGUAAGAUUAAGAUUUCGGUUAGUGAACAUCAUCAUGGAUCAGCACUUAAGGGCAACAAAACCUUAAUGUUAUUAGACAUGAUAGAGUACCACAUGCUGUUCUGAAUGUCAUACUAUUGCCAUAUUUUGACCGGUCAGUAACUGAAAGGUUCACCAUAUUGUAAACUCAUCUGUGCUUACAAGACACAAUUUGUAAUUUCGAGACAUUUUACAAUUUUCAGUGAGAAAACAUAUGCCGCUUGCUUAAUUAAUUGAUGCUUGUCUUAUUAACCUUUCAUAACUGUGGUUCUGAUCAUUCAAUGUGCUCUUGAAUGGAAUUGUCAGGAACCUCUAUAAUAAACACUUUUUGCUUUCAAAUAA